rnacentral:rRNA from 1 species
AUUGAACGCUGGCGGUAUGCCUUACACAUGCAAGUCGAACGGCAGCACGGGUGCUUGCACCUGGUGGCGAGUGGCGAACGGGUGAGUAAUACAUCGGAACAUGUCCUGUAGUGGGGGAUAGCCCGGCGAAAGCCGGAUUAAUACCGCAUACGAUCUACGGAUGAAAGCGGGGGACCUUCGGGCCUCGCGCUAUAGGGUUGGCCGAUGGCGGAUUAGCUAGUUGGUGGGGUAAAGGCCUACCAAGGCGACGAUCAGUAGCUGGUCUGAGAGGACGAGCAGCCACACUAGUGCUGAGACACGGCCCAGACUCCUACGAGAGGCAGCAGUGGGGAAUUUUAGACAAUGGGCGAAAGCCUGAUCCAGCAAUGCCGCGGGUGUGAAGAAGGCCUUCGGGUUGUAAAGCACUUUUGUCCGGAAAGAAAUCCUUGGCCCUAAUACGGUCGGGGGAUGACGGUACCGGAAGAAUAAGCACCGGCUAACUACG